CAGUAGCCGCGGUAAUACGUAGGUGGCAAGCGUUGUCCGGAAUUAUUGGGCGUAAAGGGCUCGCAGGCGGUUUCUUAAGUCUGAUGUGAAAGCCCCCGGCUCAACCGGGGAGGGUCAUUGGAAACUGGGAAACUUGAGUGCAGAAGAGGAGAGUGGAAUUCCACGUGUAGCGGUGAAAUGCGUAGAGAUGUGGAGGAACACCAGUGGCGAAGCGGCUCUCUGGCUUGUAACUGACGCUGAGGCUCGAAAGCGUGGGGAGCAGACAGGAUUAGAUACCCCGGUAGUCCCUGUCUCUUAUACA
rnacentral:rRNA from 1 species